rnacentral:lncRNA from 1 species
ACCUCUGGUCCAUCAGACCAGACCCACCCUAAAUCAAGACCAAUAUGCCCAUUCGGCUUAACAGAUUGUGCCCGAUCCAGUUGCCCGGACAGAUCAGACCCGACCUGUACAGACUGAUCGGGUCGGGUCCAACCCAAAAGAAAAGGAAAGGUCCUGCCCACUAGGAAAGUGUAUAAAUACCCUUAAGGAUUGAACUAAGAAAGGGGAG